rnacentral:lncRNA from 10 species
AGUUGAAAAUGAGAUGACUGGCCAGGCACUUCAUCUAUUUCAUUAGACCCUACAAGUUUAGAUACAAAUGGGAAAGAUGACAGUUUUUACUUUGUAUAAAAUACCACUUAUGUGAUUAUGUGAAAGACCAAAAAUAACUGUAAAGAAAUAUUCUAAAUAGUAACUAUAUUCAACAUAGUAAAACUACAUUUCUAAUGUUGUUGUGGGCACCGAUGUUUAUUAAAAAUACUUCAUCUGGGUCUUGUGCGGUGGCUCAUGCUUGUAAUCCCAGCACUUUGGGAGGUUGAGGUGGGAGGAUUGCUUGAGCCCAGGAGUUCGAGAUCAGCCUGGGCAACACAGGGAGACCCGUUUCUACAAAAAAACAAAUUGUUUUAAUUAGCUGAGCAUGGUGGUGCAUGCCCGUGGUCCCAGCUACUCAGGAGGCUGAGGUGGGAGGAUCACUUGAGCCUGGGAGGUUGAGGCUACAGUGAGCCACGAUCACACCACCGCACUCCAAGCCUGGGUGACAAAGCAAGAUGCUGUCUCAAAAACAAACAAACUUUAUUUGCAGACUUAAGCCAGGGUCAGAAAAAAUAAAAAUAAAUAUACUUUAUAAUAUUAACAUACUCUUUAAGGUUGAUUACAGACUUUGACUUUAUUUAGCAAACAUUUAAACACUUACAUUUAACAUUAAGCACUUAUGUUUAAACGCCUGAGCAAGGUGUUGGGGGCAAAAUGAUAGGAUAGACACCACAGCCAGAGUUUACUAUGACCAAUUUAUAAUACAACAUGAUAUAGACAAUAAUGAAGGAAAAAUAGAGAACUAUGAUUGAGGAAAGGAAUAAUUCAUUGUAAUAGGACUUCCAAAGGACUCCAGAGAGAACAGAAUAUUUGAUAUGAACUUUUAAGAACUGGAGGGAGUGGGAGUGAGACAGGACAUUCCAAUAAGAGAAAAGAAUAUAAGCAAAGAAGGUCUGAAAUAGCUUGGCAUGUUCAGAGAACCAAGAGCAGUCUUGUUUAGCUGGACAGUGUGGAAAGGGGACAAAGAGGACAAGAUAAAGUACAGAGAUGACUGGGGGCCAGACUGCAAGGGGCCUGCAUUGUGAUGCUGGUAUCUCUGAAUUCUAAGCUCCAAACCACAGGCAGUCUUAGAAGCCUACUGAGCCAGAGACUGACAAGAUCUGAGCUCAGGAAAGAUGACUCUGGCAGCCAGGCAAAGAAUGGAUAGGAAGGGGUGGCGAGGAGCCUGAAGACAAAGUUAAAAACUUUAAGCAAAGCAAGUAAUCUGAGGUUUUAACACUUACACUAGGCGAGUAUUUUUAAAGGGUUUGAGUCUUGACGACAUUUCACGUCUUCCCUCAAGUGAUCAUCCCAACUAUUCUGUGAAACAGGUGUCAUCAAUCUUCCCAUUCUACAGAUGAGGAAAUUAGCUCACAAGCCAUUAACUGCCAAGUCAAAUGCUACAAAAACAAGGACAAAGCGCAGGCUCAGCACUUUUCCACACAAUGAAAAAUAAAGAACAAGAACAAUCUAAUUUCUUUUGAAGAGUGCUACCGUACAACAUAGCACAGAGUAGGCUAGCUACAUUACCCUAUAUUACCACUGGAAGUGUUAAAAAUCCAUCUAAUCAGCCAGGCGCGGUGGCUCACGCCUGUAAUCCCAGCACUUUGGGAGGCUGAGGCAGGCGGAUCACGAGGUCAGGAGAGAAAGACCAUCCUGGCUAACACGGUGAAGCCCCAUCUCUACUAAAAAUGCAAAAAAUUAGCCGGGGGUGGUGGCAUGCACCUGUAGUCCCAGCUACUCGGGAGGUUGAGGCAGGAGACUCGCUUGUACCCGGCGGGCGGAGGUUGCAGUGAGUGAGCCGAGAUCGCGGACUCCAGCCUGGGCGGCAGAGCGAGACUCCGUCUCAAAAAAAAAAAAAAAAAAAAUUCAUCUGAUCUUCUUAAAUGUUUGCAACUUGCAUAACAAGCUAAUUAUCCUUAGAUUUGACUUCUGUUAACGUCAUGUUAAAGACCUAUACUUUUUCUCCAAAGCAAACAAAAAAGCACCUGCACUUUGAAUUCUACUUCCUAUGGAAAUAAAUAAGAAUAAUAUUCUCCCUUCCCUUCAAUGUUUAAAAACUGGCAUUUCACUGAUGUAACGGGCUUACAUAAAAACCAUUAUACCCAAGGAAGCUGUAAACCACUUUUUGAAUGAUUAAAAAUGCAUUAUUUAGCAAGUACAGCAAUUGAAUCUGAGUUAUAAGAUAUAUUAAGUGAAAGGAGCUUCUAUAGAUAUGCAAAGGCACACUCUCGGAAAUAGGUUCUGUCAUAAGGAAGCGACAUAGAGAUCCUGAGACCUAUUUAAGAAUGGUUCAAUCCAAAAUAACUGAUGGAAGAAUAUUUGACCUUGAGGAUGCAGAGUGAUAGAAUCCGCUCCUCCUCCCCCCCCGCCCUCACCCGCCUUUAAAUUCUAAGUCCACGAAAUGGUCAAAGUGUUCUGGAACGGGUCUUAUUUUGCAUAGGAAGAAUCUAGCUUGGGCAUUUUACCGCACAGUUUUAUCCACAGCAUCGCCUAUUACCAAAACUGCUUGUCCCUACCCCCUCACGAGCUUUCUAACAGUUUUUAAAACAAGACCCAGAAAUGUAAAAUCCCUUCUUAGGAACUUGAACAGUAAGUCAAAGUAUCCAACCCAGGUAAUUAUUAGCAAGAACUACAUUUAUAUAAUUUUUUCCAAAGAAUCUCGCAUGCCUCCUCUCCGCUGAAUCUCCCUCCUGUUUUUAACUGGGUUAAAUCUUUAUAGCUUGCCUAUAGAGGACAAAAACGGAAAGGUGGCAAAAAAGAAAUCAAGACAGUUCUGCCAUGAUUUAGGGGUCUGUACCAAGAGUUCGGCAGGUCCUGUCACCUGCGCACCACAAGACGCAAGCUGAAUUCUAGGGCAAGACGAAGCAUUCCAACACGACACACACUGGUUUCUCCAGCGGGAAGAAGCAGAGAGCUCUAGAAAUGCCGGCUGCAGACGCGUAUUGUUGGAAAGGAGCCGGAUCAGGCCCCGCAGCAACUCGGGGCGCCCUCGCGACAGGGUUUGCCGCGCAGCGCACGGAUGACUGUGGGCCUGUCACUCCUAGCUCCAGCUGUAACCUUCGCCAAACCUUGCGCCGCACCGGCCCCGCCCGCCAG